AUCUAAGAAGAGAAAAAGAAGAAGAAAUUUUUCGUUGUUUACUACACAGUUUUUGACGCGUCGGGAAGGUCCGGUCAGGAAUCUACGUGUUGGCCGGAUUUCGUUUCAGGACCCCUGCACGGUGCCCCUGGAUUCGUUGCAGCAGUUUCUUUGGCGACCGGUUCAACUCUGGUUCAACAGAAGUUGCCAUCAGAUGUGUCGCCCUAGGAGGAAAUAAAUCUUCGGUGCGAUGAAUCCAUCGAAAAAAGGAACGCCAACAGCUCAUCAAGGCAGCAAAACAACCCCCAGAGUCCAGGGUUAUUUCCAUACCGCGGAUGUCGUGGGAGCACCGGACUGUUAGGUUGUUAGGUCAUGGACGCUUGCCGCUUUGGAAUCAUCGCUGAUUGCAGGGGGGAAAAUUUAAAAUAAAGUACGAUUAGUUAAACAGAAUAUUAAAAUAUGAGCAUUAUGUCCAAAUUUUUUUCUAAAAUCUACAAAUGGUGUCUUGUAAAUAAUAGUAUAAAUU